CUGGCACCGAAACGACAAUCUCGGAACUAAUCUUAAGUAAAUGUGUCUCAUCCCCAUUUUAACGAAGUUCGGUGGCCAGUAUUUAACAGACAGCCGACAGGACAACCACACCAGUUUUCAUAGGGUCUGGAACCUUCUUGAAAUAUUUUGCAUGGCCCGUGACACAAACACACCUCCAAAUACCGAGUACUCAUUGGUUGAUUUAAUUCGCAGUGGAAGCUGUACAAAGCAAAAGAGUUGUAAACAUCAUCAUCGUCGUCAUCAUCAUCUCUAUGCAAAAAAUAUUGCAUAGCCCGAUUCUACGCAGAAAAGUCUAUCGUGGGUUGGUUGGGCAAUUGGCGAUAUAAAAGUGGGUCGACCUUGUGCAGUUCUCUUCAUUCAAUAAAAGCGAUCUUCUGUCUGCUGCAUCAUGCACAAAAGUGUUAGCUUGUUGUAAAGCACAGCCACGUUUCUGCGAGUUACUAGACACACAAGUUGAAGCGAGUUCAGUUCUGCAUAAAAGUUCACACGAGUAGCGAAUUGCUUUUGCAUUCACUUUUUCAUACCAAAAACUCCAAAUAUUAGCAAGUUCACGACCGCAUUACAUGUCCUAGACACGCGUGUAUUGUUGCGUAAUAAUAAGUAAUAGGGCAAAACAGUGAUAUCAAAGUUUUUUGUGAAAAUAAUCAACGAAAGAAAAAGCAAAAAAAAAAUACAAAAAAAUGAUAUCAAAGGCUGUCAGUUUCUUUGCGAAUCUAGUCUGGAUUUUGUUAUUUCCGGCUUUUGUAAUCCUAAUCUUAACGCCCAUCACUGCUUUGCGGUUAUUCACGAGGAUAUAAUAAAAAUAGGCCGGUUUUAUCGACGGUGCAGAGAUGGAUGGCAUAUUAAACGAGCUGGUUCGAGGGGUCCGGGAUUUUCCAUGCAUUCAUUACACUGAAAUAAUAAAGCAUGCAAGGCGAGAGGAUGGCCGAGGAGGUGAUGAAAAUAUUCGGGAAACCCCACCCGUGUGAAUGGAACGAAAGAAUAGAAUGUGACUGUCAUGGGAAAUCUGGAGAAAAUAGUCUCAUCAUCCGCCAUUGUCCGCAAAAUGUGCUGGUCCUUCCUUUCUGGAAUGUCAAUUAUUCUAUGUCUAAAUUUAGAUUUUGUAUUUGGAGUGAAGCUGCAUUAUGACAAUGAUUCCUGGUCGUAGCGUCUUAUUACCUUCCCGAAAGAUCUCAACAUUGUAUUUACAUGUGUGUAUGUAGUGUACAUUAUUAAUUAUGUAUGUAUUUUAAAAUAAGCUUUAUAUACGUAAUGGAUGAAAACCCGGAUUGGACUUUACAUUUACUUAGCCUUUAAUAAUUUAAUAUGAAUCCAAAAUUCGUUUGGGCUGUGCCAAUAAUAGCGAAUUGACAUACUAAUUUAUUUACUAGUCUUUCUUAUAUACAUAAGUUUUGCAUAACUAUAAUAUUCUUAUGUGCAUUUAAGUAUCGGUUUAUUUAAGGAAGGGAUAAAUUGUGCGAAAAUAAACGUAUUAUGAAUAACUAAA